rnacentral:misc_RNA from 1 species
ACGACCUACGUUGCUAAGAAGCACCCAACAUGGGAUUUAUGUGAUGUCAACAGUGUGAAUCCUACAUAAAUGUUAGUCUUGGAAAUAUCACAUUACAUUACGUGAUUGUUUAUUGCAGUGUUGAUUAUCGUUAUUACCUACAUGAUACACAAGGAGAAUUUUGACCAAUAGCAGCUAUCUGUCUAGAUCGAAUUCUGGGUUAUGGUAUGGCGCUGAUCUAAGUGUCAUAUCUUGCAACGAACCGUCUAUAACUUAUGAAGUUAUAUCCCACUCAAAAAAUCGUAUCAAACGUGAUUGAUGAUAGACGGCGAAAAGAGAAAGAGUGAAUAAUUGGAUAACGCGUUAAGGAUAACGGAGGGGUUUGGAAUCGGCGAGAAUAGAAGUGGGUUUGGCAAGUGGGGUGACCAAUCGACCAACGUUCGUCUUCUCUAUUCUAUUUUAUUCAGUCAGACUUGGAUCCAAGACAGAGUUACGUGUGAUAACGUAUCAUGCUCGGUUUAGAUAAACUGCGUCGUCCUUGCUAGCUUUCAUAAGCGCGAUUGUCACGAAAAGGAGAGAAGCACGCGAGACGAAGAUUAUGAACGCGUCGAUGUCGUGCAACGACCUGAACCUGAACCGUUUUCAACGACUUUCGAACUUGUUAUAUCUCUCACGUAUCACUAUCAAGAACGCGAGAAUGACUUAGACCAACUUGUCAAUACGUGGACAAUAAGAAACUGUCCCAAUACGCGAUGCAAAAUUCACGCUGGUUAUACUGGUUGUUCUGGGUGGGUCUACUAUCAAUGACUAUAGCCUACCCUCUACCUUCGCCACUUGUCACAGAUUCAUCAGAUACUCAUACUUUUUGGCAAUGGGAACAUUACUGGAUGCGAUAUGCGAUUGCUCUUUCAAGUGUUACAGCAACGGCAUUGACUCUGGCUGGAUGUCUCUGUUGUCAAAGACACAGAAGACCCAAGGGAUUCCAGGACAAAGCAGAAAAAUGCAAUCAGGAGUUCAGGGAUGGAAGCAGUACAGGGCAAGAUAGCACGUUUGAUCGUUCUGUCGAAGGAUUGGAAUUGGAUGUCUCCAGAACAUUAGCUGCUUCUGAGAGGGUUCAAUUUGAACCUCUACCUGUGGACAGUAUUGUAUCUGGCACGAGAUCUACUACUACUUCGAAACCCAAAUCAAUACCUUUGUUGCAUAAUGAAGAACAAGAUACGGAGCGUUCUAUUCUGCAGGAGCCAUGCAGUGAAUGGUUUCAGUCCAAUGAACUUAAUGUUCCAAGAGAGAAGCUGAAGUACCUGCGAGAAAUAGGCCACGGAUGGUUCGGUAAGGUAGUUGAAGGUCGAGCGGAUUUAGAACAGUCCACGGGUGUAUCAAAAUCGGGUGGUGUAGUCGUGAGAAUACUCACGGAGGAAGCUACUACUAAAGAAAAAGCUUGGUUUCUCGGCGAAGCCACACCGUACUUGAAGCUGCGCCAUCAAAAUGUAUUGGCUCUUCUCGGUUUCUGCUUGGAAACUGAUCCGUAUCUUCUGUUGUUUGAAUCAUGUCCGGCUGGCGAUCUAAAAGGUUUCUUGUUGUCGAACCGUGAUACCAAAUCGAGAGAAGCUCUCACCAAGGAAAAUAUUCCCAUACGCAUCGCGAUAGAAAUUGCAGCCGGUUUGAAACAUAUGCAUAACCAUGGUUUCGCGCAUACAGAUCUUUCUGCGAGGAAUUGUUUAGUCGCUCCAGAUUUGUCAGCCAAAUUAGGAGAUUAUGGCACCGGUGUAGAGAAGUAUCCCAAUGACUAUUACAUAGUAGGAGAUCGGGCGUUGCCUAUCAGGUGGUCUGCGCCGGAAAGCUUGAAUUGUACGGACACUACAAUCGAGACACAGGAGAUUACGUUGCAGGCCAAUAUGUGGAGUUACGCGGUGCUUCUCUGGGAGAUCAUCAGCUGGGGAGAGAGACCUUAUAACGAUAUGAACGACGAACAAGUAAUACAAAUGAUCCUGUCACUGAAAAACGAAUUUCCGCCAAACGGCACACGACUGUUGCAGAGUUAUCUCGUUAACUGUUCGUCGAAUAUAUAUCAGGCGACUCGCUCGUGCCUAAACGUCAAGGCGAAGGACAGACCCUCAUUAGAUGAAGUAAAGCGGAUCCUUUUGAAUGAACAUUCACCGCACGCGGAUUUCGAGCAACGUUGGGAGAGUCUGCGUGCGAAUGUAUGCAAUAAACAGCACGUACGUAGUGCUAGUCUACAGGAUUUGCGCGGUAGCAUCGAUUCCGAUUACUGGACUCACAUCGUGAACGAUACGCCGAUAGACACAUUGCCGUCCUCGUUUCGUCUCGGACCUGACGAACAAGUGAAAAAUAUGCCUGUAAUGAAAAACGUUGCAAUGUUUCAGGAAUCCGGUUCAGAAACCGAGGAGGAGAGCUGGAAGGGUCGAAUCGAACAGGGCAUUUAUACAGAAAAAGUGAAACAGAAGUCUAAGUCCGUGACGGACCUCAUGGUACUCGUGCAUAUCGAUCCCGAUUCCGAUGCGGAAUGGUCGAUAGGUGCGCAAGUGCCUGAUAAGACUGCCAAGAAAAAACUGCCCACCACCGGUAGCGACAGUGACCUUAGACACACCGUGUUGCCGGCAAAUGAGUUCGACAAAACGUUAAAAAGGCUGCGAGAUUCUCUGCCAAAUAACGCCACUAACAUCAGAUCGCUGGAAAAUCUGGAACGACCAAAACUCUUAACGCUAACUAUGGACCAGGGACACACGCCGAUCUUACGAUUGUCUCUGGACAAUACUGGUAAAAUCUCAGAAAAUGACAAUAGCAUGUCGCCGAGUGCUUCCACAAGCGCAGAUGGUACACGCGCCAAGAAGCAUGUGCUAAGACUCUUAUCAAAAGGGAAUCCAGAUCUCCCUCUCUUGCGUUAUGUACCUGAUCAAAUAUCUGCUGUUGAAACUUCAGAGAACAGAGAGGAUCGAGAUGUACUUUUCGUCGAGAAAAGCGGCGACGCGAACUUAUCCGAUCGCGUUUCUUUGAAUAAUAAUAUUGAAGUCGACGAACACAACGCGGUGGACGUUUUACUUUGGAAUCAUGCGCUAGAUUCCGCCUUGGAACAGAAGAUACCAGACUUCUCCGACGUAGAAGCGGAAUUCACUGAAUACAUGGACGUAUCGAUAGAACCAAGUAACGCUGGCGCGCCGGAACUCACUGUAACCACCGUGUCUACGCCGGAUGCCCUUCAUUUUUGUGAUGCCUAUUCGCCUAUUUAUACAUCUGAUGAUCAUUUUUCUACAGUAGAUAACACGGAAAUUAAACGGAAAGCUAACUUGCCAAACGAUGACGAGGAGGAAAGAAAACAGCUAUCUACGCCAGACGAUGAGCAAAGUUCUGACUCGGGUUUUCGCGACAAGGAAUCUUGUGAGGAGGAGGAAGCAGUUUGCUCGACGUCUGGCAAUCUCUUGCCUUCAAGCAACACUGUUGCGACCUCUAAUUUGUCAUAUUCCGAAGAAGAGCCCUUUCAGAUUCUGUUCGAAUUAGAUACCAUUCUAGAUGCCGAAUAUUACACGACUGCGUCUACCGCUAGUCCCGAAAGUAUAACAGAAGUUGUCGGUUCCGCAUUUAACGUCGAGAAAAAUACAUCGCCUAUGAAGCAAACAAUAAACAUGAUUCCUGAAUUGCAUCAUAUUUCUACGAAUAUAGAUGAACCAGAACAUCAAAGGGUGGAUAUUCUCAACUCCGAUGUUAUGCAAACGACUAACAUGAAAGAAGACUUGGAUUGUACAAAAGUAAAAUUUGAAAGCGCAGUAGAAAAUAUUGAUGUCGAGGUAGAAAAGAGAGAUGUAACUCCUGAAAAAAUGCAAGAGUUCAAUAUUCAAGAUAACCUGCAGCAAACGUGCGGAUUGGAAACGAAGGUUAUUAAUAAUCAACGAGAUCCGGAACAAUAUUUACAAGAUUAUGAAAACGAGGAUGAGGACAGUUCGACGGUGAGUUUACGCAGCGACAACUCUUAUGUGUCGUUUGGUAUAGAAGAGGAAUUCGUAACAGCAAUUCGUAAUGAACUUCGAGAGAAAUUGCCUCAAGCUCAGAUGCAGAUCGUGGAAUCCUUGGAAAGUCACGACGACGAAAAUCCUUCGAUUUCUAAUGAUGCAUAUGGUAAACGGUGGGAUGACGAAGAUGGCGAGGAUGGAUCUGAUCAAAUUAGUGACGGUGUAGAUAUUUCAAUCAGGUAUAAUGUGUACGGAACACCGCUUAGUCCCAUCCUGGAAGAAAGAGAGAGUAAUGUCACUUCUGAGUCGUUGAUGUCUAAUUCCAGAGAAGUGUCUGUCGCUUCGAAAGAAUUAAUGCCGUCGGAUGACAUAUUGUUAGUCGAUACUUGUACGAAUGAAAUGAUAUUAUUAGAGGGAUUAGGCGAACGGUUGCAGGAUGAGGAUCAUGACACAACAAACGGCGAUCUAUCCGAGGAAGAAAAUUUAGAUUAUAUUUGUUCAAUGACACGUCCAUUGGAAGAUAAAUCGCGUAUCAUGAAGAUAAGUGGAGGUGCACCGUUACCGAGUCCCGAAGAGGAAUCUAAAUGGCAACAAUUACCUUCAUCCUUCCCACUACCUUUACCUUUACCGUUACAAGAUGAUCUAAUGUCAACAAGUUUCGUCACCGAACGCGAAUGUUGUAGCCAGGAUGAAGAUGAGGAAGAAGAGGAAGAAGAUGAAGAAGAAGAGGAAGAGGAGGAGGACGAGGACAACAGUUCUAGUUCUGGUGAAUUCGUAUGGAAGAGAUACAACGAGCCACAUAUCGAACAAAUACGAAUUAAAAGUACCGGUAACAACGACGAAGCGAAUACUGCGAUAAAUGUCGAAUUGGAAGAGGAUUUGGGUGUCGAAGAUGAAGAGGAGGAAGAAGAGUUUACUCCCUCUGCUUGGAAUGCCGCUCUGGCGCCUCAUCGGUCAGCACUGAGAUCUCCAGAUAAAACAUUAAAAUCUGGAGAUGAGUUGGUAGGAUCAGAAGAAGAGUGUAUGGUUUAAGAAUCAACGCUAUCAUUGCGUGUACGAAUAUCCGAAGGAAACGAUGUCUGCGGACAGUCGAACAGAUACUACUACUAAUUUGGAAGCAACUUCAUAUUCCGAUUGGGAAGAAAUGAUGGAUGAACCACGAUUAGAUCUAUAUUCUUUAGGUUAUGACGAUGUGAAUCAUACUGGACACGAGUUUUUUGUGACCAGUUCGAGUCGACCUUUUCAGUUUCAAACUGGUGAAAGUAAGUAUGUCAGCCAGUUCUUUCCUGGUGCGAACGCAACUUUAUUCUCCAAUGACCG